AGCAGAGUGGUGUAAAGGAAACAUACAAGUCUCAUAAACUUGUGAUUCAAGUUCGACUCUUGACUCUGCCA
rnacentral:tRNA from 2 species